AAGUCGUAACAAGGUUUCCGUAGGUGAACCUGCGGAAGGAUCAUUAACGAGUUUUUUUUGAAAGGGGUUGUAGCUGGCCUUCUAACGGAGGCAUGUGCACGCCCUGCUCAUCCACACUCUUUCAACCCCUGUGCACUCAUUGUAGGACGGUCAAAGGCGGGCUUUUAAAAACCCGCUGGAAGCCGCUCUAUGUUUUAUUACAAACGAUCAGUCAUAGAAUGUUAAACACCGCGCAUAGCGCAUUUAAAUACAACUUUCAGCAACGGAUCUCUUGGCUCUC
rnacentral:misc_RNA from 1 species